CCUCAAUCAGGUAGGAUUACCCGCUGAACUUAAGCAUAUCAAUAAGCGGAGGA
rnacentral:rRNA from 2 species